GACGAACGCUGGCGGCGUGCUUAACACAUGCAAGUCGAACGGAAAGGCCCUGCUUUUGUGGGGUGCUCGAGUGGCGAGCGGGUGAGUAACACGUGAGUAACCUGCCCUUGACUUUGGGAUAACUUCAGGAAACUGGGGCUAAUACCGGAUAGGAGCUCCUGCUGCAUGGUGGGGGUUGGAAAGUUUCGGCGGUUGGGGAUGGACUCGCGGCUUAUCAGCUUGUUGGUGGGGUAGUGGCUUACCAAGGCUUUGACGGGUAGCCGGCCUGAGAGGGUGACCAGCCACAUUGGGACUGAGAUACGGCCCAGACUCCUACGGGAGGCAGCAGUGGGGAAUAUUGCACAAUGGGCGGAAGCCUGAUGCAGCAACGCCGCGUGCGGGAUGACGGCCUUCGGGUUGUAAACCGCUUUCGCCUGUGACGAAGCGUGAGUGACGGUAAUGGGUAAAGAAGCACCGGCUAACUACGUG
rnacentral:rRNA from 1 species